AGCGGUAACAGAUCUAGCUUGCUAGAUGCUGACGAGCGGCGGACGGGUGAGUAAUGCAUAGGAAUCUGCCCGGUAGUGGGGGAUAACCUGGGGAAACCCAGGCUAAUACCGCAUACGUCCUACGGGAGAAAGGGGGCUUCGGCUCCCGCUAUUGGAUGAGCCUAUGUCGGAUUAGCUGGUUGGUGAGGUAAUGGCUCACCAAGGCGACGAUCCGUAGCUGGUCUGAGAGGAUGAUCAGCCACAUCGGGACUGAGACACGGCCCGAACUCCUACGGGAGGCAGCAGUGGGGAAUAUUGGACAAUGGGGGCAACCCUGAUCCAGCCAUGCCCGUGGGGGUUAAAGAAGGCCCUCGGGUUGUAAAGCACUUUCAGCGAGGAAGAACGCCUGGUGGUUAAUACCCAUCAGGAAAGACAUCACUCGCAGAAGAAGCACCGGCUAACUCCGUGCCAGCAGCCGCGGUAAUACGGAGGGUGCAAGCGUUAAUCGGAAUUACUGGGCGUAAAGCGCGCGUAGGUGGCUUGAUAAGCCGGUUGUGAAAGCCCCGGGCUCAACCUGGGAACGGCAUCCGGAACUGUCAAGCUAGAGUACAGGAGAGGAAGGUAGAAUUCCCGGUGUAGCGGUGAAAUGCGUAGAGAUCGGGAGGAAUACCAGUGGCGAANGCGGCCUUCUGGACUGAUACUGACACUGAGGUGCGAAAGCGUGGGUAGCAAACAGGAUUAGAUACCCUGGUAGUCCACGCCGUAAACGAUGUCGACCAGCCCUUGGGUGCCUAGCGCACUUUGUGGCGAAGUUAACGCGAUAAGUCGACCGCCUGGGGGAGUACGGCCGCAAGGUUAAAACUCAAAUGAAUUGACGGGGGCCCGCACAAGCGGUGGAGCAUGUGGUUUAAUUCGAUGCAACGCGAAGAACCUUACCUACCCUUGACAUCCUGCGAACCC
rnacentral:rRNA from 1 species